AAGUGAAAAGUCUUAAAAAAUUAACCCUUAACGUACUUUGUAAGUUUAGUUAAUAGAAUAAGAUUAAAGAUUUAAUAAUGAAUGAAACUUUGUUUAUAUAUUGAUAAUGACAAUAUAUAUAUUAUGUCUUGACCAAUUACGUGCCAGCAGUCGCGGUAAUACGUAAGAGACUAGUGUUAUUCAUCUUAAUUAGGUUUAAAGGGUACUCAAACGGUCAAAAUAAAGACUAGAGUUAUAUAGAAGAAGGUAGUACCUUGGAUGUAAAGAUUAAAUUUGAUCAUAUCUAAGGGACUCUGAAAAGGCGUAGGCAACCUUCUAAGUAAUAACUGACGUUGAAGGACGAAGGCAUAGAUCACGAACAGGACUAGUUACCCAAGUAGUCUUUGCAGUCAAUGAUGAAUGCCAUAGGUUAGAUAAAAAAAUUUAGUCUAUAAAUGAAAGUGUAAGCAUUUCACCUCAAGAGUAAUGUGGCAACGCAGGAACUGAAAU
rnacentral:rRNA from 1 species